GGAGGCGGCGCGCGCGAGAGGAGGCGGCGCGCGCGAGAGGAGGCGGCGCGCGCGGAGAUGCCCCGCGGCGGCCGCGCUUGCGGUCCCAAGAGGAAGAGGAAUUGGGAUACAGAAUACCCAUCCUUUCCAGAAGAGAGGCCACUGCAAUCCCAAAGAACGGGUCUCAGGACAGUGGGAGCAGCUGCCUCUCUAUCUGAAGCGUGGCUCAAAUGUGGAGAAGGAUUUCAGGAUACUUCUGGGAAUCAGGUAAAAGAGUCAUUGAUAGCUGAAAAGGCAACUACUACAGGAAAGCACCUUGAAUUUUCUCCAAGACCGCAAAAAGAAACUGCCACAUAUAAGGGUAUCAGUGAGCUUACAGAUAUAACAUGGAGUUCCAGUGGAAGUGAUCUGUCAGAUGAAGAUAAGAUACUUUCUAAAUCACAGAAAGAUAAUGGACAUGGCUCUAGAAUAGACAGAUUUUGUAACAGGAAUAUUUUAGGUCCAGAAGAUGGGGCCAGUGAAGAUGAAUUACAAUUUAUUGACUGGGAGAUCGACAGUGACAGGGAAGAUGGUAGUGAAUGUAAUGAAUGUGAAGAUGGUGAAGAUGCUGUGGAAAUCUCAGAUUGUGCUUCUUGUGCAAGCUGUCACUCUUUGACAAGUGAUGAGAAGCCAUCUGAGCUUCCUGAGCCAAUUUCUGCAGAAAUUUUGGAAUAUUCAUCACAUAGUGAGAAAGAAGAUGACUCAGAGGAUGUCCUAUUCAUUGAUUCAGAGUCCCCUCACAAAUACCACAUGGAUUUUGGACUGGAUACAAGGCAGAUAAUGGACAGACUGGUCAACCCAAGGGUGAGAUCAACAGAGCCCGUCUUGUGUACACCCCAGAAACAGACAGCCAAGCUUCCUAGGACUCCAGAAGAUUCAGCAAAGAAGAAGAAACUUUUAAGAGGCGGAUUAGCAGAAAGACUAAAUGGACUGCAAAAUCGAGAGAGAUCUGCCAUUUCUUUGUGGAGACAUCAGUGUGUUUCAUAUGAAAAGACUCUUUCAGGUAGAAAAUCUGGUAUAUUAAUUGUGAAAAUUCUAGAGCUACAUGAGGAAUGCACCAUGCAAGUUGCCACGUGUGAGCAGUUAUCAGGCCCACCAUCCCCCAUCCCUUCCCAAGGUGUGACCCCUGGGCCUGGAGCCAAUCUAAAGGUUCUCUUUACUCGGGAGACUGCAGGCUACCUCCAGGGGCAUCCCCAGGACAUCAUCCAUAUUUUCCCUCCCUGGCACAAACUUAUUAUCCCAAAUGGAAGUUGUCCUGUUAUUCUGAAUACUUACUUUUGUCAGAAAUUUGUUGUCAAAGAAGACCCAGAAACAACUCAAGAGGUGUACUGUCGGGAUAUACCCAUUCCGAGAAGAAACAUCACUUUGGCUCAGAUGUUUAGAAUUAAGGAUAUAACAGAUAAUUCACCUGAAAUCCAGGUUGUACAUAGUGGCCCAGCCACCACAAGUACAGGCUGGCCCCAUGGGCAUGAAGAGGCAAAGCAGUACCUCACAGCUGGCACUUCCUCAAAGGAUUCUCUCCUGGAUGUGGUGGAAAGCAAGGGAGCUGCCCCGUAUUCAGAAGUGGGUAUUCGAGUUGUGGUACAGAGAGUUUACUUCCUUCCUGGCAGAGACAGCUCCAGAGGCCAGCAGGGGAAUGGCUCAGGGUAUACAGACCAACCAGGAACUCGGGAUCGAACUCAGAUCCUUGCACUUGUGAGGCAGGCGGCAGAACCACUGAGAGUCUGCCUUCUGGUGCAAGAUGCCUAUGGAAUCUUUGGUGAAGUGCACUUGGAGUAUGCCGUCUUGACGGACAGAGAGUUGGAAGGACACUCCUGCAGUCUGGUGGGCUUGAAGGUUCUACAGAAGGCCACCAGAGGAAGGACACCAGGGCUCUUCAGUUUGCUUGACACUCUGUGGCCCCCAGUAAUGCCUCUUAAAGGCUCUGGCUACAGUGAACCCUGCAAAGAGGUGAAAACUCAUCUGCCUCCCCCUGCCUUCUGUUACAUCUUCUCAGCUCAUCCUAGUCUGGAACAUAUUGAUAUCACUGAAGAAGACCCCAUGUCUAAGCUUUAUCAGCCUCCAGUUCUCCACUGCUUAAGAGAAAUUCUCUGGACUCACCAUCUGGGUGCCCGGUGCAGUUUCUACGCCAGGGUGAUUUAUCAAAGACCACAGCUGAAGAGUCUGCUUCUUUUGGAGCAAAGGGAGAUAUGGCUGCUUGUGACUGACAUCACCCUGCAAACGAAGAAUCAGAGUGGCCCCCACCUUCCCAAAACCCUGCCAGUCUGUGUGGCUCCCUCAUGUAUGCUGUGCCCGGAAAUUCUGGAAGCACUUACCAUGGGCACGCCUCUCAACAUCUUCUUCAAGGAUGCUCUCAGAGACCAGGGUCGGAUUGUUUGUGUUGAACGGACUGUCCUCUUACUGCAAAAACCCCUUUUGUGUGUGGCCUCUGGUGCUGACUCCUGUGAGCUGACUGGCCCAGUGACACUGGAUGAACUGGACUCCUUCACCCCUGUCAACUCCAUUUGUAGUGUGCAAGGCACUGUGGUCGGUGUGGACGAGAGUACUGCUUUCUCCUGGCCUGUAUGUGACCAGUGCAGCAACGGGCGACUGGAACAAAGGCCAGAACACAGAGGCGCCUUCUCCUGUGGGGACUGUUCCCGGGUGGUCGCGUCUCCCAUUCUCAAGAGGCAUCUGCAGAUCUUUCUGGACUGCCCUGCAAGGCCCCAUUGCAGCGUGAAGGUCAAGCUGUUGCAGAGCAGUAUUUCUUCACUGCUGAGGUUUGCCGCCUUCAAGGAUGGGGCUCCCAGGAAGGCAGCCUGGUGCUUCCUCCACGAAGCCCCCAGUGAUGGACAGUGCUUAGCAUCGCCUGCUGAUCCCAACCUUCUUUUAGAGACCUGAAGACCAAGAAGCCCUGGCAGAGAUCCUCCUACCUCCCCUUGGUUUCCCACUGGCUGAGAUGCCUUAUUUCUCCCACACAUUUACCUUCUCAACUAGAAUGUUACCAUAGAGUUAUGAAGUGAAGAGUGUCCUCGGAAAGGAGGUGGGGUUGUUAAGUUGUUUUGUCCAGUCCAUAACCACCCGCCCAACCAGCUGCAUCGGACUGGAGGAAAUUGAGCUUCUGCCUGGAGGAACUGUGGAGCGGCGCCUGCCCUGGCCCCGGGACCGGUGA